rnacentral:tRNA from 1 species
GCCUUCGUGGUGUAACGGUAACACACUCGUCACGUAUUCGAGAGGUCGAAGUUCGAAUCCCAGUGACGGCA